AACUGGCCCAGCAGCUACUGGGCUCAUGUGAGCCUCCUAUCUUCUGAAAGUGAACUGAGGAAUCCCAAAGUCAGAGAAACAUACAGGACAAACGUCAGCCCAUCUAAGGUGCUGUGAUUAAAUGUGUGCAUCACCACCGCCUGACAAAGAUUUUCUUAAUUGGGUUAAUUGAGGCAGGAAGUUCCACCUUGAAUGCAGGAGGUUCCAUUCAUGGACUCAGUUCUGGACUGAUGAAAGGGAGAAAUAAUACAAGCCUGCAUGCAUUCAUUGCUGGUUCCUGAAUAUGACUCAACGUGACUAGCUGCUUCAAGCUCCUGCCACCUUGACAUCCCCGCCAUAAUGGACUGUACCCUUGAACUGUGAGCCAAAAUAAACCCUU